UACGGGGGGAGCAAGCGUUGUUCGGAUUUACUGGGCGUAAAGGGCGCGUAGGCGGUCAGCACAAGUCAGUUGUGAAAUCUCCGGGCUUAACUCGGAAAGGUCAACUGAUACUGUGCGACUAGAGUGCAGAAGGGGCAACUGGAAUUCUCGGUGUAGCGGUGAAAUGCGCAGAUAUCGGGAAGAACACCCGUGGCGAAGGCGGCUCUCUGGGACGGUACUGACGCUGAGACGCGAAAGCGUGGGGGAGCGAACAGG
rnacentral:rRNA from 1 species